rnacentral:rRNA from 1 species
CUAUUAGAUGAGGCUACGUUAGAUUAGCUAGUUGGUGAGGUAAUGGCUUACCAAGGCUAUGAUCUAUAGCUGGUCUGAGAGGACAUCAGCCACACUGGAACUGAGAUACGGUCCAGACUCCUACGGGAGGCAGCAGUGGGGAAUAUUGGACAAUGGGCGAAAGCCUGAUCCAGCUAUGCCGCGUGGAGUGAAGAAGGCUC